rnacentral:lncRNA from 15 species
UUAGAUUAUGAACAAUAUAGUUUUAUUUUAGCUUGUAAUAAACUUUUUAAAUUAUUAUAAUUGUUUAAGUAAUUGUUUAAGCAGGUUUGGGUUGGGCUCGGGCCUAAAACUGUGUUUGUGGGUCAGGCAUGGGUCAGAUCAAAGCUCUACUUUGUUGUGGUGGAAGUAUGAAAAGUCAAAAGUCCAGAACCAUUUUUUUAAUCCCAGUAAAUCUUUAAAUAUGGCUAACAAAUAUGUUUUUAAUAGUUUUUGGACAACAAUGGAGCUCUAUGGCACAGAGAAGUAACAUUAUGGAGUUAUUUUAGUGCUGGCACAAAUUGAAACUGAAUUUAAUAGUUUUGAAUUUGAAAUGUUCAAAUUAAAUAUGGAAAAUUUGCAUUGUAUUUCACAGAUUGAAAAUUAAUCUGAUGUCUAUUUUGAGAAACUGAAAUUCCACUUAAAAUAAUGCCCACAAGUUGAAAUCAUUAAGAGUUAAAUUCAAUUCAAACCAUGAGAUUCAGUUUGAGGUUGUGACAUAUGGUUUUAAAUUGUGCUACAAUAUUCCGUUAUAACAUUUUAAAUUCACCACUUUUUAUUAAAUUCUGAUUAAUUUUUGCUGGCAUUAACUGCGUACAACAUGAGCUGCCAGGAGAACAGAUUUUUAAUAAACCCGCCCGUAACAUUUUACAUAUGUUUAAAGUAAACUUUUUGGGAAAACACUGUUAGUUUUGGUUUUUACUUCCAAAAAAGUGGUUAUAAUGUGGGCUCAUAAGAAUGAUGGCAUGCAAAUAAGUUCCAGGCUCUAAGUUUAAAGGUUUAAAUUUCCCCAUUUGAAGAGUGGCAUGACAUUCUGUAUCAUUAAGUGAGGCUGACAGCUUCUGUUCAAACAGUCCAACCCCCAGAUAACACUGCAGUAAGUCUGUCUGUGGUCGCGUGCCACAGCGUCAGGGUCACACAAGUGAGAGAGAAUGUGUACACACAAGGAGAUGUCAGUUUGACCACGGUUAUGUUCGCCGAUUCAUAAUCGAUUGCAAGCUACAUCGACAGAGUCAGAUAUGAUAGCAGCCCCAUUGUUAGCACUCCGUGUUACCUUGAACCGCCUCACCAAUGAACAACAACCAUAGAGCACAAUGAAAAAAGCAAAACAUAACACACUGGCAUAUCAUGAUGCGGCGAGUAUAGUGUACACAGCAAGCAGCCAUUCACCAGAUAACAAGAUGUAUUCCGAAAAGGUCAACACAGGAAAAUAAAGCACUGGUUAACUGCAGCAAGAACGCAUCACGUGAACACUAAUCAGCACGCUGACAUUGUCAUAUUGACAUUCUUUCAUCUAUGGUAUUGGAUUCACGAUAACAGGGUAGAAAUGAAAUGAAAGAUGACACUAAUUUAACGUGAAACUGAGCAACAAAAAAAAGAAGGAAGAGGAUCCC